AUUUCAUCAUGGCUCAAAAGAAGUUUAGGCCCUGCCCCUCCUGCCAAGAACCUAACCAGGUGAGCCGAAAAACCUGCAGCAGUUGUUUCGCAGCUCUCUCAAACAAGGGAAAACUAAAGGCCAAAACGGGGUCCCUGGAUAGGAAGUGGGCGGAAGGGGUCCUGAAAAAUCGAAACGCGGCAAGAGUGGUGAACUCUGCCCAUAUUGCAGUGAAAAAACUAAGUGCAUUGGGCUAUGUCCCAAUUUUAUUUUAUGCCAGAAGGGAGAAAGCCUCUGGAAAGUGGGUGGCUGAUGUGAUGAACCAGCUGACACCCACUGAGGAUAACCUCAAAAUUUUAGCCAGUAUGAAAAAGGCAUACAAUUUUGUUUUGCUUAAAGAAGGUUGCCGGAAAUGUAGUAGGCAAAAAAUAUUUCAUUAUGACGCCGUCACAGAAAGGAGGAUGAAUGAGGGGCGAGCAGAAGUAAGGGUGAGAUGGUUACCUUGCUCUGCAUGUGGAAAAACCUGGGAGGAGACAUGGGAGCUGGCCUGCCAGUUCCCAUCCUAAGAUGCCGGCCAGACUUUUUUCAUUUAUUAUAAUUGAUUUUUGUUUAAAAUAAAGGAAAGUAUACCUAUAUUUCUGUUUACGUCUUUCCAUUAGCCUUGUGGAUUAAAGAUGAAUUAAUUAUUGCCAAAAAUGA
rnacentral:lncRNA from 1 species